AGUGAACGUUGGCGGCGUGGAUUAGGCAUGCAAGUCGAGCGAGAACCGUAGCAAUACGGGGACAGCGGCGAAAGGGACAGUAAUGUGUAGGUACCUACCUCCGGGUUCGGGAUAGCUGCGGGAAACUGCAGGUAAUACCGAAUAACGUCUCCGGACCAAAGGUGUGAUUCCACAUGGAGAGGGGCCUGCAUCCGAGUAGCUUGUUGGCGGGGUAACGGCCCACCAAGGCGCCGAUGGGUAGCGGGUGGGAGAGCACGACCCGCGUCAUUGGGACUGAGACACUGCCCAGACACCUACGGGUGGCUGCAGUCGUGAAUCUUCGGCAAUGGGCGCAAGCCUGACCGAGCGACGCCGCGUGCGGGAUGAAGGCCUUCGGGUUGUAAACCGCUGUCGUAGGGGAGGAAAUGCAGGGGGGUCUCCCCUCUGUUUGACCUAUUCUAGGAGGAAGUACGGGCUAAGUUCGUGCCAGCCGCCGCCGUAA
rnacentral:rRNA from 1 species